CAUCUUGUGUUGUUGAGGCUGAGGACUGACUGGGGUUCUGAGACUCCCUGUCCCGGACCGCAGCGUUAAAAGGAUCUGAACAAAGUCUGCUCAAAUCUCCUGCUGUGAACCAGCAGAAUUUUUGAACAGGUUUCUUCACAUAUAAAAAUCUAUUGUAAAAAUACGGAAAAGAAUGGCAGCGGAAACGCAGACACUGAACUUUGGGCCUGAAUGAUGUGUUUGGACCCCGAAUAUGGAAUUCUCAUGGAAUUUUGAGAUCCAUCACAUUGUAGUGUGGCUUCCCCCCCUCCCCUCCUUCCUUUUUCCCCAAAGUUGGUGAUUGAAGAUCCUCUCUUCAGUGGCAUCAAUAAUAAUAAUUACUUUUUCUAUUCAAACCUCGGGCAACCCCUUUGGUAAUAUCAGAAGUAGUAUCUAAAAUAGAUAAAUUGGAUUUGUGUCUUAAACUCUUGGUUGUUCAGGUGGGAGUGGUUCAAUAAAUGAUGCAGACUUCCUGUAGUAACUCUAUUUGAGGAGUCUUAUUAACUUAUCCUAUUAGAAAUAUUUCUUUUUAUUAAUAUAUGUAACCUCGAAGUUUUCUUAACCUUUAUAGCCAGCAUUUGGAGACUGAGGAGAAAUCACUAUUUGAAGUUCUAAGAACUGAUGGAACUCCUGUAUUUUGAGAGUUUAUUUAGAACAUGUUAACCUA
rnacentral:sRNA from 1 species